GUUGGCGGGGUAAAGCCCCCAAGGCUAUGAUAGAUAGCUGGUCUUAGCGGAUGAACACCACAAUGGGAUUGAGAUACGGCCCAUAUUCCUACGGGAAGCAGCAGUAGGGAAUCUUCCCCAAUGGACGAAAGUCUGAUGGAGCAAAUCCAUGAGG
rnacentral:rRNA from 1 species